CCGCCUCUGUCUGAUGUUCAUCCUCUCACAAAUUAUACCAAAGAAAAAAGACAUCUUUCAAUCUACGCAAGAAACGAUGCUUUAUCCUAAAAUUAACACUCAGUGUUUUAAAACCACAUUUGUAAAUAGCAAUUUUUAACUAAUUUUUAAUUUUUUGCUCAUCUCCACUUCUCCGGAAGUGUGAAAGUAGUAGGGUAGAGGUAUAG